rnacentral:rRNA from 1 species
UGCUUGUCUCAAAGAUUAAGCCAUGCAUGCCUAAGCAUGAACUAAAUUAAAGUGAAGCCACGAAUAGCUCAUUACAACAGCCGUUGUUUCUUGGAUCUNUCGUAAUACUUGGAUAACUGUGGUAAUUCUAGAGCUAAUACACGCAAUCGAGCUCCGACCGUAAGGAACGAGCGCAUUUAUUAGAACAAAACCAAUCAGUGCUUGCACUGUGGUUUGGUGAAUCUGAAUAACUGAGCAGAUCGCUACGGUCUUGUACCGGCGACGUAUCUUUCAAGUGUCUGCCUUAUCAACUUUCGAUGGUAGUUUAUGUGCCUACCAUGGUUGUAACGGGUAACGGAGAAUUAGGGUUCGACUCCGGAGAGGGAGCCUGAGAAACGGCUACCACUUCCRAGGAAGGCAGCAGGCA